rnacentral:rRNA from 1 species
CUUGGUCAUUUAGAGGAAGUAAAAGUCGUAACAAGGUUUCCGUAGGUGAACCUGCGGAAGGAUCAUUAUUGAUUUUUAAAGAUGUGCUGGCACUCCUUCACCGGUUUGCAUGUGCACUCUGCAAAAUCUCCUUCUCUUACCCCACUGUGCACACCCAAGUAGACAAACAGAGUUACAGAGCAAUCUGUGUAAUUCCUGAUUUGCCUAUGUUUUUAUCAAACACCAAUAACAAUAUCAGAAUGAUCUAUAUAGUAAGCUUUUAACAAGCUGAAAUUUAAUACAACUUUCAACAAUGGAUCUCUUGGUUCUCGCAUCGAUGAAGAACGCAGCGAAUUGCGAUAUGUAAUGUGAAUUGCAGAAUUCAGUGAAUCAUCGAAUCUUUGAACGCACCUUGCACCCUCUGGCAUUCCGGAGGGUAUGCCUGUUUGAGUGUCAUUAAUCUCUCAACACAAGAAACUUUGUCUUCUUGUGCUUGGAUAUUGAAGGUUUUGCUGGCGCAAACAACUGUCAGCUCCUUUUAAAUGUAUUAGCAGAGCAGUAUAGGACUGGCCUCGGUUUGAUAAGAAACUUUAUCUAUGCUGUCGCUGGGUUUUCCUCUUUGUGCUCAGCUUCAAAUUGUCUUCGGACUGUCUCUUGAGGCAACAAAAUCUCUAUUGAUCGACCUCAAAUCAGGUAGGACUACCCGCUGAACUUAAGCAUAUCAAUAAGCGGAGGA